rnacentral:rRNA from 1 species
UUGUAAUUUGUAGAGGAUGAUUUUGGUGCGGUAUCUUCCGAGUUCCUUGGAACAGGACGCCUUAGAGGGUGAGAGCCCCGUACGGUUGAAUGCCUAGCCUCUGUAAAUCUCCUUCGACGAGUCGAGUAGUUUGGGAAUGCUGCUCUAAAUGGGAGGUAAAUUUCUUCUAAAGCUAAAUAUUGGCCAGAGACCGAUAGCGCACAAGUAGAGUGAUCGAAAGAUGAAAAGCACUUUGAAAAGAGGGUUAAAUAGCACGUGAAAUUGUUGAAAGGGAAGGAUUUGUGACCAGACUUUUUCUGGGCGGAUCAUCCGGGGUUCUCUCCGGUGCACUUUGCCCAGUAAAGGCCAGCAUCGAUUUUCGGCGGCGGAUAAAAGCAGUGGGAAUGUGGCUCCCUACGGGGAGUGUUAUAGCCCAUUGUAUAAUACGCUGCUGGGGAUCGAGGUACGCGCUUCUGCAAGGAUGCUGGCGUAAUGGUUAUCAAUCACCCGUCUUGAAACACGGACCAAGGAGUCGAACAUUUAUGCGAGUGUUUGGGUGUUAAACCCUCACGCGUAAUGAAAGUGAACGGAGGUGAGAGCCCGUACGGGUGCAUCAUCGACCGAUCCUGAAGUUUUCGGAUGGAUUUGAGUAAGAGCAUAACUGUUCGGACCCGAAAGAUGGUGAACUAUGCGUGGAUAGGGUGAAGCCAGAGGAAACUCUGGUGGAGGCUCGCAGCGGUUCUGACGUGCAAAUCGAUCGUCAAAUCUGCGCA